CCGAGUUUUCAACUCCCAAACCCCUGUGAACAUACCUGAACGUUGCUUCGGCGGGACCGCCCCGGCGCCCUCAGCGGCCCGGAACCAGGCGCCCGCCGGAGGACCCAAACUCUUGCUUUUAAUUAGUGGUUAUUCUCUGAGUCUCACAAACAAAAAAUGAAUCA
rnacentral:misc_RNA from 2 species